AGUCUGUAACCACCCGUGGGCCAAGAGAAAUUCAAUGCAUGUAGAGAUCAAAUCAGGUACUCAGUGCAGCAGCUGCAGAGAAUCUAUUGGCAGAUUCAGUUGGAGGGAAGGACCAGGAAUUCUAGGUGACACCUAAGGAGGGAUGAUCAGCCCAAUCCUUGAGGACAUGAAGCAUGCCCAAAAGAAGACCACAAGCCAGCCAAAGAAGGCUGGCAAGCCUCAUCAGGAACUUGGUAUUAAGAGCUGCGUCUCCAUUUUAUUAUAAAUGGUGAUUUGAUGACACAACCUCUAUGUUCCCCAGCGGUCAUUCAUCCUCUGAGUUUGCACAAGACCUGGAGUAUAAUGGAGGCAAAACGCUUUGUAAUUUAAGACAGAAGUUCCUGAUUCUCUCCUGAACCCACCAGAAAGGCUUUUCUCAAGAAUUUCCCUGGCCUGCUUCUGGACUAAAGAGGAUGCUGCUUUUGGAUUCUUGUGGAAACCAAACGACUGGAACUUUUCAGGGUCACACAUUUCUGGUUUGCACUGAUCACAUCUAAAUGUGCACACACAUUCACUCCUAGGCUCAUAUACAUAUACACAGAACAGCAGAUACGCACAUGUGAUAAGACCUGUUCACUUAUGCUCUCAGAUAUAAACACCCCUGGUGCACACACAUAGAUACAGCCCCGUCUGUGCUACAGUUUGG